rnacentral:rRNA from 1 species
AUUGAACGCUGGCGGCAUGCCUUACACAUGCAAGUCGAACGGCAGCACGGGAGCAAUCCUGGUGGCGAGUGGCGAACGGGUGAGUAAUAUAUCGGAACGUGCCCAGUAGUGGGGGAUAACUGCUCGAAAGAGCAGCUAAUACCGCAUACGACCUGAGGGUGAAAGGGGGGGAUCGCAAGACCUCUCGCUAUUGGAGCGGCCGAUAUCAGAUUAGCUAGUUGGUGGGGUAAAGGCCUACCAAGGCAACGAUCUGUAGUUGGUCUGAGGGGACGACCAGGCACACUGGGACUGAGACACGGCACAGACUCCUACGGGAGGCAGCAGUGGGGAAUUUUGGACAAUGGGCGCAAGCCUGAUCCAGCAAUGCCGCGUGCAGGAAGAGGGCCUUCGGGUUGUAAACUGCUUUUGUCAGGGAAGAAAUCCUCUAGGUUAAUACCCUUGGGGGGAUGACGGUACCUGAAGAAUAAGCACCGGCUAACUACGUGCCAGCCGCCGCCGUAAGAC